rnacentral:rRNA from 1 species
AUUGAACGCUGGCGGCAGGCCUAACACAUGCAAGUCGAACGAGUGGCGGACGGGUGAGUAAUGUUUGGGAAUCUAGCUGAUGGAGGGGGAUAACUACGGGAAACUGUAGCUAAUACCGCGUACCAUAGGAUGAGCCCAGAUGGGAUUAGGUGGUUGGUGAGGUAAAGGCUCACCAAGGCGACGAUCUCUAGCUGGUCUGAGAGGAUGACCAGCCACACUGUCACUGAGUCACGGCCCAGACUCCUACGGGAGGCAUCAGUGGGGAAUAUUGCCCAAUGGGGGCAACCCUGACGCAGCCAUGCCGCGUGAAUGAAGAAGGCCUUCGGGUUGUAAAGUUCUUUCGGUAGCGAGGCGUUAUCUACAGAAGAAGCACCGGCUAACUCCGUGCCAGCAGCCGCGGUAAUAC